rnacentral:rRNA from 1 species
CCUACGGGAGGCAGCAGUGAGGAAUAUUGGACAAUGGGCGCAAGCCUGAUCCAGCCAUGCCGCGUGCAGGAAGACGGUCCUAUGGAUUGUAAACUGCUUUUGUACGGGAAGAAACACUCCUUCGUGAAGGAGCUUGACGGUACCGUAAGAAUAAGGAUCGGCUAACUCCGUGCCAGCAGCCGCGGUAAUACGGAGGAUCCAAGCGUUAUCCGGAAUCAUUGGGUUUAAAGGGUCCGUAGGCGGUUUAGUAAGUCAGUGGUGAAAGCCCAUCGCUCAACGGUGGAACGGCCAUUGAUACUGCUAGACUUGAAUUAUUAGGAAGUAACUAGAAUAUGUAGUGUAGCGGUGAAAUGCUUAGAGAUUACAUGGAAUACCAAUUGCGAAGGCAGGUUACUACUAAUGGAUUGACGCUGAUGGACGAAAGCGUGGGUAGCGAACAGGAUUAGAUACCCUGGUAGUCCACGCCGUAAACGAUGGAUACUAGCUGUUGGGCGCAAGUUCAGUGGCUAAGCGAAAAGUGAUAAGUAUCCCACCUGGGGAGUACGUUCGCAAGAAUGAAAACUCAAAAUGAAUUGACGG